UACGGAGGGUGCAAGCGUUAUCCGGAUUCACUGGGUUUAAAGGGUGCGUAGGCGGGUUGGUAAGUCCGUGGUGAAAUCCCCAAGCUUAACUUGGGAACUGCCGUGGAUACGAUCAAUCUUGAAUAUCGUGGAGGUAAGCGGAAUAUGUCAUGUAGCGGUGAAAUGCUUAGAUAUGACAUAGAACACCAAUUGCGUAGGCAGCUUACUACACGAUCAUUGACGCUGAGGCACGAAAGCGUGGGGAGCAAACAGG
rnacentral:rRNA from 1 species